UACGGGGGGGGCAAGCGUUGUUCGGAAUUACUGGGCGUAAAGGGCUCGUAGGCGGCCAACUAAGUCAGACGUGAAAUCCCUCGGCUUAACCGGGGAACUGCGUCUGAUACUGGAUGGCUUGAGAUUGGGAGAGGGAUGCGGAAUUCCAGGUGUAGCGGUGAAAUGCGUAGAUAUCUGGAGGAACACCGGUGGCGAAGGCGGCAUCCUGGACCAACACUGACGCUGAGGAGCGAAAGCGUGGGUAGCAAACAGG
rnacentral:rRNA from 1 species